GUGAAUCAUCAAAUUUUUGAACGCAAAUUGCGCCUUUUUCGGAAGGCAUGUCUGUUUGAGGGCACCAUUUAACAAAUAAGGUGCAUUUCGUGUGCACACGUUGAUGAGCUUUCCAAAUUUAUGUAUUUUUUUUUUUUGCUUAUAAUAAACAUCGCGAUUCUUUUUUUCAUUUCGAGUGGAUUAAAAUUUUUUCUUACUUGUGUUAGGAAAAGCGUUAUCUCGCAAAUGGGUGUUGCGUUUCUACGA
rnacentral:misc_RNA from 1 species